rnacentral:lncRNA from 13 species
CCAGGAGACCCUGAGGACCCUGGACCCUGAGCUGUUGAAAGUGUUCCUGAGGGCAGCAGAGGGUAUGGAGGCCUUCUGCACCAUGCCUCAGCUCAGAGAUAUGGAGUUCUUCACACAGUCUGUCAGGACCCAAUGGGAGGCGUGUUUCUCUGCAGAGGGCAGCCUAGCCCAGGCUGGGCAGCACCUGGAGGCCCUGAAGGAGCUGUGUGACACCCUGAGCCCCGAGGAUGCCCACCGUCUGGCCCAGGCUCAGCUCAGGGAGUGUGAGAAAAGACUGGCCGCCAUCCAGCGUCAGUUCAGUGGGGACAGGGAUACACCACCCCCCGACACACCUGGAAUUCCUCUUGACCUGGGGAAAGAUCUGACCCCACAGAGGGAAUCUACAGUGCAGAGUGACAAACCUCCAGGCCCAACUGAGGUAGGACCUGGUACCUAUAGUACCUAUGAUAAAGACACAUGCACUGAUUUAAGAAAUAAUGUAUCUGAUCAUUUCUCUUUUGUAGGUUUCACAAGUUGUUGUGAAGACAGUGGUUGUUGA